CGUGAGGCUGCAGCCGCAAGGCGGGAAAAGCUCUGUCUCCCUUUCUGCCGCCCAGGCGCUAUAAAGUACAGAGUAAAUCGCAGAAAAGCGUGUGAGGUUUGUGCUUUUCCCCUCUGUACAUUGAAAGAAUUGCUUGGGGUCGAUGGACUGACGUGGCUUGCCAGAUAUUUUGUGUGACUUGUUUUUUGUGGAAAUGCCAGAGGGAUCGUGGACAGUGUGCCUCAUAGGGGGAAUAUGCUAAGGAUAGUCUUAAAAUCUAACUUCCCUCCCUGUGUGCCGGGAGGAUUGAUGUUUCCUCAGGAGGCGAGGAGCUGCCUGAAUAUGAAUUUGUUUUCACACUCGCUGGUGAGCAAGAAAGGUUCUCCCAUCACCUGGCAGAGGCAGCUGUGCUCUGCUCCUUCUCCUCAGCUGCAGCUCGCUGGCACGUUUUCCAGAUGCCUUCUUCAGUCAGUGACCACCAUUUUGUUUCUAAUGCCUCUGGUCAGCCUGAGCUCCUUGAAGCCAUCUUGCUGUAAGUGACUGUAGCAUUCUGCGAUGGGGCUGUGCAUGUCCUGGCUUGUUACCACAUGCAGCGAAGAGAAAGUGGCAAGCUUUCUCUGCAUAAAGCAAAGCUGAG
rnacentral:lncRNA from 1 species